CAAUAGCGUAUAUUAAAGUUGUUGCGGUUAAAAAGUUCGUAGUUGGAUUUCUGCCAAGGACGACCGAUCCGCCCUCUGGGUGAGUAUCUGGCUUGGCCUGGGCAUCUUCUUGGAGAACGUUGCUGCACUUCGCUGUGUGGCGCGGUAUCCAGGACCUUUACUUUGAGGAAAUUAGAGUGUUUCAAGCAGGCUUUCGCCUUGAAUACAUUAGCAUGGAAUAAUAAGAUAGGACCUCGGUUCUAUUUUGUUGGUUUCUAGAGCUGGGGUAAUGACUAAUAGGGAUAGUUGGGGGCAUUCGUAUUUAACUGUCGGAGGUGAAAUUCUUGGAUUUGUUAAAGACGGACUACUGCGAAAGCAUUUGCCAAGGAUGUUUUCAUUGA
rnacentral:rRNA from 1 species